ensembl:lncRNA
CAAAACCAUCUUUGCUAUUUCUGCAGGCGAUGCUAAAUAUAUCAGUGCUCGGAUGUUUGGAAAGUUGCUGGAGCUCGCUGGAGAUGCUGCAUUGCUGCAAUUGGUGCUUUUGGGCUUUGAAGAAGAACCCCAAGAUCAAAUCCUGCUUUGUGAGUGCGCUGAACCCGAAGAAAUUAAGCUCCGAAUUUUCGAGGAGUGGAUUUAUUAAUAGCAGCUGCAAGUAGAAAUGACGUCUAAUUGUGAUCAGCACUGAGAGAGCAGAAGGAAGGAGGGCUGCUGUGCGCAUCGCGUUACGAAGCGACCGACGCGACCGGAGGGAGACGGCCUCAGCAAACGGGAUAAUUACAGCCGUGCUGCCAUAAUUAAUGCUCACGCGCUCUGUUCCUCAGCCCUGUUUUUCUGGUGCAGCUCGGUUUAAGUGAAGGUCUCCGUGUCGCUCUGACGCUGGUUUAGGCUGCAAAAGCCAUCAGCCCACGGGGAAAUUCAUUCUUGAAACUGCAGCUUAAAUCUGUGAGCCAUUUCUGAAAUUACAGGUUAGCAGAGCCCGGGGCCUUCCACAGAGCAGACACACAUUGUUCAGAGCUUUGGAAUCAGCGCCUGUAGCGACGCAGCACUAAAAUGGAGGACCCACCACCAGCGGGCAGAGCCCACCUUCACUGUGUGCACAUCUCACAGCACCACCGCUGGGCCCUUCCCCAGGAGCUGCUCCCCGACGGGAAGCGCUGUGCCGCAAAGGCCCAUAAGGACAGCAGCAAAAGCCCACUGCUUAAAUACAGUGUGGGUAUCUGUGGGAAGGAUCUGCCCGUGGGCAAUAUGAGCAGCACAUCAGUCACGAAGCAGCCGGAGCCGUGAGCAGAGCUGUGCUGGUGGAAACGAAUCCCUCCUGCCUCACCGCCAGCGCUGCUCUCCCACCUGACGGAGUCCUUCCCGGUUUGUAAAUGCACAGCACUGCAGUGGGAAGCAGAGCACCGCAUCAGCCAUGGGACAGAACUCUGCAGGGGGGGAGGAUGGGAGAACCCCCCCCGAGAGGAGGAGCCCUUUGCAGCUCUGCUGGGAGAUAAACGAGCGGGGUUCUGCCUGCAGAAGGCACUCUGUUCUGCUCACUGCUGGCACCGCGUGAGCGCACUGCUUGCUUCGGCGCUGGGAGGCGAAAGACAACCUGCAGAGAAUGGAACUUUGUGGACUCUGCAGCCUGGGAUGGCCCCGAGCUGCCCAGAUGGCUGCGGGGUACCACACACCUGUGAGCUCUGCGGGGCCACUGAGCGCCGGGGAGCAGAUUGCAGGGAGUAAGGGUGGCUGUAGGCGUGCAGAGCUGUGAUAAAAGCAGCUGCUGAAGAUGAGUGAGGACACAAAUCAUCGGUGUGGAGGAGCUGUGAGCUCCCGGUGUUUCACUUAUGUCAGUGGGAGCUGCUUUUAGUGCUCAGCUCGUCCCAAGAGCAGGGCUGACAGCAUCGAGAUGUGACCACAACCAGAGGACGAGCGAGGGAAUCUUGGCCUGCAUAGCUUUGCAAUGAGUUCACGGCACAUUCCUGACUCCCCGGCCCGUUCCGAGCCUCCGGAGCUGCGCACCAUUUCUGUGCAAUCACACUACAGCUUAUGCACAGCCACAAACACGGCCACACACCUCCCGCAGGACGGCGCGGUGCUCCCUGCCCCGCACACAGCAGUGGCACUGAGCCCAGCAGGGAUGCAGAGCUGCCCAGCGCAGCUCCGCGCCUCCGUGCCACCGUCGUGCAGCACCUCAUCCAUCUGCAGCAUGCAGCUCUGCGGGGCUCUGGCUCUGCGCCUCUGCAAACAGCGGCGUGGUAGAACCGCGUGUUCUCUCCGGGUCACAACGGGUUGCAGUCACAAACGGACAGCGUUUGCAAGACCACCUUGGGAGUUAUGGAUGUACAACUUGAAGCAGAACCCGAAAUGGCUUGAGAUGGCUUUUUAAUUAAUGAAGGAGUUAAUGAGCACUUUGGGAAUCAGAUGUGCUGGCCCGGCUGGGUGCCGCUGGGCAGCUCUGCAUGGAAGGAGGGCUCCUGCUUUCCAAUUCCUUGCACACCCCCCCUUUUCUCGUGGCUCCCCACAAUCGAGGAAUACCCUUCAGCUGAGGCCUUAACAGGGUGGUAACAACAAAGGAAAGGCAAACGCAGAACCCCUCCAGAUUGCUUCCUGCAGGGACAGCUUCCCCCCUCCCAGCCUUUCAUUUCUGCACUCCAGAGCCCGGACGUCUGCAGACAGUUGCUGGAUACCUCCAGUAUCCAGAAGGGCCCAUAUGUGCUAUCAGUGUUUGCCAGCAAAGUGCCGGGCUGGAAUCAAACAUUUCCAGCUUUUGUGCGGAAAGAAUAAAACGGCAGCAGAUAGAUUAAAAAAAGACCUGUUUCAGACAGAAAAGAGCAGAGCUGCUGCACGGUGCUGUGUGAAUACCUCUGGCUCCGAGGACAUCCACUGCCCUCCUUUUAGAUGGUAUUUAUCGGGAAUUUGGGUGUUUUUGUCAGUCCUUAUUCUGUUUUAUCAGACAUCUCUGCCAACUCAGUGCACUGCGGGGUGGGCUGGAGGAUGAGGGCAGGAGGGCCGUGCAGUGGGAAUGGGAAAGUGAGCAGUAAAUGGUGAAGCACCGUGCGCCCCAUCUAAAAGUCCCAGGGUUCCCCACUUGUUUCACUCUGGUUGGUUAAGGGUGGAAAACCAGAGCUUGUGAUGGUGAACUCUGGGACUGGUUGUGUAAAUGGCCCUCUGGUCUCACCCCACAGGGAAAAUGUGUUGGUGAAAAGAAGGAGAGAUGGGGUUUGAGCUUUAACAUUUGUAUUAUAAUAGAGCAAACUAUGGAGUUACAGAUCUCAUAUUCCCAAUGCUCCAUGUGUACGCUUUGCCAUUACCCAGCACUGAAACUCCAGGAAUACGCACAGCGGGGCAGAGGUGUAACUGCCCUACAGAGGUGUGCUUGAACAAAACUACCAACUACAGCACUGCAUACACCACUUCACACACUGCUACUGCUCUGUCGCUGCACCCAGCAGGUUACCAUCACAACAGGCACAGACAGAGCGGUCUGAAGAGCUCUGGAACAGGUUGCCCAAGGAGGCUGUGGGUGCCCCAUCCCUGCAGGCAUUCAAGGCCAGGCUGGAUGUGGCUCUGGGCAGCCUGGGCUGCUGGUUGGUGACCCUGCACAUAGCAGGGGGGUGGAACUGGAUGAGCAUUGUGGGCCUUUUCAUCCCAGGCCGUUCUAUGAGUCUCUGAUUCCCACUGGGGAGCACAGAGCAUUUGGUUUUCCUCUCCUCAUUCACAGUCUGUGUGCCUUCCUUGCGGUGUGCUGAGCUUAACCAGAAGUCACAGCCAAUGCUGUGAGUGAAUCUCUGAAGGGAAAUUUUUGUCAGUGCUGAGAAAUCCAAAACAAUGGGCCAGGAGCCAUAGUGAGAGCGAGGAAGGAAACGGCCGGGCUGAAAUAAAACUCACGGGAACAAAAUGAGUAUAGAAUACAUAAAAAUACAUACAAAAUAUAUUUCGGUGUGUGACAGUUGUGUAUUUCUCCCACUGGGAGAGGUGAGGAAACUGAAACGUUGCCCUGAAGAAUGUGUGAUGUGUGCAGGAUGGGGGAAGCCAUGAGCUGAGCUCAUCGCCAGCAGUGUCAGUGCAGCAAACAGUGGAGGGGGCACAGCACGGUGGGCCACACACCCCAUAGCUCAGCUGCUCCUUUCCAAUGGAGACGUUUGAAGCAGAAACGUUUAACCUGCAGUUGGUCUGUACAGAUAGCAGCACGUCUCUGAUUCGUAAACGUGAGGCUGUGGAUAUUCAAUAAACACAAGAGAG